ACGACUCUCUUUGCAAAGUUCGGUGAGUUGAUGAAGAAGUUACGUUUCAAGAACGAAGAAAGUGAACGUAAGAAGGGACGUCUUCGGAGAGGGUUCUUCCCAGUUUACGUGGGGGAAGAGCGCAAGAAAUUUUGGGUGCCGGUUUCAAAAUCUCCAACGUUAAAGACUGUACUCAAUCACUACGCAGAGGAAUACAAUCCUUUGGAGCCCAUAUCGAUGCCUGGUAUCACCC
rnacentral:lncRNA from 1 species